rnacentral:rRNA from 1 species
UACGAAGGGGGCUAGCGUUGCUCGGAAUCACUGGGCGUAAAGGGUGCGUAGGCGGGUCUUUAAGUCAGGGGUGAAAUCCUGGAGCUCAACUCCAGAACUGCCUUUGAUACUGAAGAUCUUGAGUUCGGGAGAGGUGAGUGGAACUGCGAGUGUAGAGGUGAAAUUCGUAGAUAUUCGCAAGAACACCAGUGGCGAAGGCGGCUCACUGGCCCGAUACUGACACUGAUGCACGAAAGCGUGGGGAGCAAACAGG